rnacentral:misc_RNA from 1 species
AAUGUCGUAACAAGGUUUCCGUAGGUGAACCUGCGGAAGGAUCAUUAAAUGAGUUAAGGGUCUCCGGCCCGAACCUCCAACCCUCUGUCGUUAUAACUACUUCGUCGCUUUGGGCGGGACCGCGAAAUGGUUCUCCCGGAGCGCGCCGGUCUUCGGACAGGCGAGCGCCCGCCAGAGUCCAAGCCAAAGCUCUUGUUUUGAAAGCCAGUCGUCUGAGUAUAAAAGUUUUCAAUUUCAAACUAAA